rnacentral:rRNA from 1 species
GAAUGCUGACAUAAGUAACGAUAAAGCGGGUGAAAAGCCCGCUCGCCGGAAGACCAAGGGUUCCUGUCCAACGUUAAUCGGGGCAGGGUGAGUCGACCCCUAAGGCGAGGCCGAAAGGCGUAGUCGAUGGGAAACGGGUUAAUAUUCCCGUACUUGGUGUUACUGCGAAGGGGGGACGGAGAAGGCUAUGUUGGCCGGGCGACGGUUGUCCCGGUUUAAGCGUGUAGGUGUGUGUUCCAGGUAAAUCCGGUUCACUUUAACACUGAGGCGUGAUGACGAGGCACUACGGUGCUGAAGUAACAAAUGCCCUGCUUCCAGGAAAAGCCUCUAAGCAU